rnacentral:rRNA from 1 species
AACGUAGGGGGCCAGCGUUGCUCGGAAUUACUGGGCGUAAAGGGUCCGUAGGCGGUGUGGCAAGUCGGUAGUGAAAUCUCUGGGCUUAACUCAGAGGCUGCUUCCGAAACUGCUGUGCUAGAGUGCGAGAGAGGCGAGUGGAACUGCGGGUGUAGCGGUGAAAUGCGUAGAUAUCCGCAGGAACAUCCGAGGCGAAAGCGGCUCGCUGGAUCGCAACUGACGCUGAGGGACGAAAGCCAGGGGAGCAAACGGG